rnacentral:lncRNA from 1 species
GAGGAGGGGGCACCCAGAAGGGGCCCUGAAGUCAAGGGCAUCGUCCAACCUUUCUACCUCCCCAGCUGAAGACAGGCUGGAGGACAAUUCUCCAGAGUUUCAUAACAAAGAAGAGAAAAAAGAAAUCAAAAAGCCCUGGAGGAUAGGGAGUGUGACCACUGUAUGUCAGCCACUGGGGGACCGGCUUCAGCUUACAACCACCUUCCAAAUUCCACCCUCUCACCUUGGCAGAAGCUGGCCAGGAAUUGGGGCCAAUGGAUGGGUGGGGUCUGCACAGGACACCGUAUUCAGGUCCCCAUGACGGCCUCACACAAAGGUGGUGGCCCUGCAGUUCCAGGUGCCACACAAACGCCAGCCCCUGCUCGGGCCCUGAUCUUUGAGGAAGGGGAGCAGCAGAACCCGAGCACUGACCCCACAGUGCCACUCACACCCACAGACGAUUCUCCACAGAGGCAUCAGGUCUCGGUCUUGGCCACCUCCUCCUGCAGGGCCUCAGCUGUUUCCUGGGACUCACGUGGUCCUUCCUCACAUGCAGCUCUGGUGCUAGUUCUGGCAAAGCCAGUCACCUGCCCAGGGCAGAGAGUAGCCUGAAGCUGAUGCUACGGAGAGACUGGGGCCUUCAGUCCAACAGCCUGCAAGCAAUAGAAUUCUGCCAGCAACACAGAAGCGAGCGUGGAAGCAGCUCCUCCCCUGAUGAGCCUGAGCCUUCAGAAGACAUGGCAGCCCUGAGCAGACACUUGCUGCAGCCGCGGAGAGCCCCUGGGGCAGAGGGCCCAGUGAAGCCUGCACUCCUGGCCCAAGGAGUAAGCAUUCCUGUGGUAUAACUGUGUGCUGGUGUGGGCCACAGUUUGGAGUCAUCUGUCAGGGGACAAUAAAGAACAAACACACGCCUCA